GACGAAGGGGGCGAGCGUUACUCGGAAUCACUAGGCGUAAAGCGCGUGUAGGCGGGUGCUUAAGUCCGUCGUGAAAUUUCCCGGCUCAACUGGGCGGGGUCAGCGGAUACGGUGUGGCUGGAGCAAGCUAGGGGGCAAUGGAAUUCCCGGUGUAGUGGUGGAAUGCGUAGAUAUCGGGAGGAACACCAGUGGCGAAGGCGGUUGCCUGGAGCUUUGCUGACGCUGAUGCGCGAAAGCGUGGGGAGCGAUCCGG
rnacentral:rRNA from 1 species